rnacentral:sRNA from 1 species
UAUUCUGCCCCAUGGGGAAGGAUGAGAAGCUUCGACUAAGGUUCGACUCGAGCGAAGCGAGAGAACGUUGCCGCAGGCAACGGCCCGAAGGGCGAGGCGCUUUAGCGCCG